AUUUUAAUAGUUUAAAAAAAAUAUUAAAUUGCAAAUUUAAAGAUAAUUUUUAAAAAAAUUUUAAGAUU
rnacentral:tRNA from 1 species